rnacentral:rRNA from 1 species
AUGAACGCUGGCGGCGUGCCUAAUACAUGCAAGUCGAGCGAACGGACGAGAAGCUUGCUUCUCUGAUGUUAGCGGCGGACGGGUGAGUAACACGUGGAUAACCUACCUAUAAGACUGGGAUAACUUCGGGAAACCGGAGCUAAUACCGGAUAAUAUUUUGAACCGCAUGGUUCAAAAGUGAAAGACGGUCUUGCUGUCACUUAUAGAUGGAUCCGCGCUGCAUUAGCUAGUUGGUAAGGUAACGGCUUACCAAGGCAACGAUGCAUAGCCGACCUGAGAGGGUGAUCGGCCACACUGGAACUGAGACACGGUCCAGACUCCUACGGGAGGCAGCAGUAGGGAAUCUUCCGCAAUGGGCGAAAGCCUGACGGAGCAACGCCGCGUGAGUGAUGAAGGGCUUCGGAUCGUAAAACUCUGUUAUUAGGGAAGAACAUAUGUGUAAGUAACUGUGCACAUCUUGACGGUACCUAAUCAGAAAGCCACGGCUAACUACGUG